AUCAUUCAAUGGGAUAAAAUAGCUUAUCUUCCCUGCAAACAAUACCAUGAAGAAUGUGGAUAUUUAACCAAGUCAAAAACAAAUAAGGUAAGCAGGUAUCCAUAUUCAUUUCAGUAUCAGCAGACAAAAAACGUUAUUAAAGGCGACAACUUUAAAAGGUAAAAAACGAUAUAAGUUAUAAAAAACGGUAAAAGUUAUUGUAAAUGAUUUAUUAUUGUCAUUAGCAUUAGCCUAUUAUUAUUUAAUUCACUUGCCCUCAUAUACUUUAAUCAAAAUAACUUCCUCUCCCAUUUGCAAUUUUCUCUGAUGACGUCUUCACUGGCGCGAGGGCGGACAACUUGUUACUCACAUGAGAUCACAGCAGUGAUCCAACGAUCCAAUCAAUUCCCGAUGAACAAAACCAAGUCCCACCCUACAUUUUUUCUUGUUCGAAAAGCCAUUUCACUUUGAUAUACAUCGCAAAAGGGAAAACAAUCUGUUUGACAAUCGCAAACAGCUUUAAUAAUAAAACCAUCUCUGAUUUAAUUUUUUCUAUUUAAAAGUCGUCGUGACAGGUAGCCCCGCCCACACCGAAACCUAACUGGACAGAAACACCGCUUCGUAAGUAAAAACGUAAUUAAACAUCGGGGAUAAAGAUUGUCUGUGGAUUCGGGAAGGGAUGAGUAAUCUCAAGUUACACAAAGACAGUCGUACAAAACAUCGUGCAGUGAAGAAUCACGACAGGCACGAAGGUACAGUAUAGGAAAAGUAUAGGAAAAGGAUGGAAAGAGAGACAGACAUCUUGAGCACUACAGGUCUCGACGAGGAACCGCUUCUCCCCUCUUUGCGAGGCGGAACGCGACGCCAUGGUGAUCGGAGACUCUAUCGUCCGUCACGUCCACGCUACCACAACCAAAGGGGUGAAUGACACCAAGUUGCAGCAGAUGGAGGUGCUGAAGCAGGACUUCAGGAGCCUGAUCGAGGCGGUACGAGCCACAUCACCCGCAACGAGGAUCAUCGUAUCCGGACAUCUUCCGAAGUGGACAUGAAAGGUUCAGUAGAUUAUUUGCUUUAAAUGAAUGGUUAAUGUCUUGGUGUAAUGAACAUAAGCUGCUCUUUAUAAAUAAUUGGAAUCUUUUCUGGGAGCGACCUAGGCUCUUCCGUGCUGAUGGCCUGCACCCCAACAGAAUCGAAGCUGAUCUUCUGUCGGAGAACAUAUCCAAGACGCUUCACACCAUAUGACUAGUGUCAGAAAUAAUUGCCUUGGAGCUGUGGCACAAACGGGUAGUGCAAGUUCAUGAUUUAUAAGAGCUGCAAUGCUCACAGGGACACGGGUUUGAAUCUGGCCUGCACCAUUUUCUGUCCCAUUCCUCAUAUCUGUCUGUGCACAUUCCCGAUUGUCCCUGUUUUAAAGGAAGAGUCUAUAAAUUAAGAAAAAUGGCUUUAAGCUCCAGUUAUUUUAGUACCUUCUUUGAAUAGGAUACACAUUAUAAGGCCUGAAACUGUUAAGAAGGAUUUAAAAAUAAAUAAAUAAAUAAAUGGUCAGUAAAAGUAGAUGCUUAACCUUUGGAAAGUUUCAGCAUUAACAACUGGCUAAAUAUUAUGUUUUUGGUCAUUUAAAUUACUAAUUUUUAUAACUAAAUAUAAAUAAUUACAAAUAAUUUUGGUAACACUUUAGUAUAGGUAACACAUAUAAACUAUUA